GCUCAAGGGUUCGACGGCGUCCGAGCUUGGCUGCGCAGGUGUGCCGCACUCAGUGUGCUUCCGCCGGAACUUGUGGAGCCACACUGGAGAUUUUCUCUGAAGCCAACGAGACCACGGUUGGAAGACCCCAGGAUGGAAGCGGCCCUUUGCCUUUACGUAGACUACUUCGAGCGGCAGUGGCUUACCAACGUUCCUCUGUGGAAUUAUUUUGCGGAUGAGGACGAUCUCCGCACAAACAAUCACGCCGAAGGGUGGCAUAAUUCGCUGCGAAUUAAAUUCAAAAGCCAACCCCACAUGACGCUUUCGAAGUUCCUCGUCGAAUUUCAGUCAAGCAUACACAAUGCUAACCAGGUACGCAUUCGGCAGCUGCUGAACGGCGCUUCGCCAAACAGGAGACGACGCAAUUUCGUGGAGAACAACGCGGCGAUACAAGAGGCUCGCUCUUCCUUCUCAUGGGCGUACGGAAGAUACAGCUCAGGGGAAAUGAUGCUCGAGGCACCCUUCAGAGACGUAACAGAGCAGUUUGCUCAUGGCAUCAAUACAUACCUGCAGCGCAUGUCCCACUUGCUGGGCCAUGCUAACUAAUAAAUUAGUUGUUCAAAUGAAAAAAUAAAUAAAUAAACAGAGCGGGCUGAGCA